CUUGACUGGACAUGCACAAGCAAUCUGGAGAAGGAAAUAGUUCUAGUUCUGUCUGGUUCAGCAGAAACUCCGCCCACUGAAGCUUUCCGGCAGGAAAUCAAGUUACAAACAUUACAUGAUCUGAGCAAAUUCUCGUACACUGAUCCUACCCUGGGGACAGGACACUUUUGUGAGCUGCUUAUUGAGGCUGUAGUUUUAGAUACCUUAACCCUUUCUGGAGUGUUACUUUGAGGGCAUCACAGCUUCUUGUGCUGGCUAGACUGUAGAGAUGACAAGCGAGAAGAAAACAGAUUUGCAACUGUUAGGGUCAUUCUUCAUCAGUAAAGAAGUCCUGAAAACUGUCUUUAUGUGGAGGAAAGAAGGGGAGGGCUGGGGAGUCUUUCUUCUCCUUGCUUUUCCUACUGAAAAAUUGAGAUCUGUUGACAAUAUGUUUCCUGGAACACCCUAAAGAUGACCAAAAAACGUGUGGUUUCUGGCAUCAGCCUGACUGUACAAGUGAAACCUCUCAAUGGAGAAAGGAACCAAACUGUACUUGGACUGUUUCAGACCCAUUGUUUUUUAUUAGCAGAAAUGCCUGAAAAACAAUAGCAGAAAAACUGCCAUUGUGAAAAUUCCAACACCUACUGCUUCAGCUAAGGGUUAAGAUAAAUUGUAAUCUGCAUGUUUAAACGGUAUAAUGAACCUUAAGGAAAUAAACCUUGAUGCUUGCUAACAGCCCUGAGGUUUAAAAUGAAAAAGCAUAAAGAGGAAGGGAGCUUUUCUUUUCACAGAAAAGGGAGCAAAAAGGACCACAGCUCACAUUUUCCUCUUUGUCCAAUUACCAGCAAUGGAGACGAAUGUCUGAGAAAAAGAGGAAAGUGGAAGCUGCCUGCAGUGAUAGCACGGCUGUUUUUCAUGAUGGUUGUUUCUGGGGACUCGCAGCCCCUUAGCACACUGCUGGAGAGUGGGAAGGUGGGGAUGGCCCCUGCUAGCAGUGCUUCCCGCCGGAGCUCGAGCUCGCGGUGUGCCAUGUCUCGGAUUUCCUUUUUGUUUGUCUGAGAAGCAGAGCAUCCCCUGAUGAAGGUCACAGCUUUGAUCGCCAUGGCUUGCUCUUGUGUUUAUGGAUGGCCAUUAUUAGUAACACAUUCUAGUGUAUGCACUACUCUGUGCCUGCCCUUGUCUGACUGCAAGGGAGCAGAGGCAGGAUAACAAAAGAAAGUAUAAAUAGUGUCUUUUUAAAAGCCUGUUAAAUAGAAAUAGACUUUUAGGGAGGAGAGAGAAAGAGUGAGGCGUGUUACCAUAGUAAUUGCCAAUGGUUUACUUAAGAAGGGCAAAGAAACAAACACCACAAAAAGGCGAAGUCAAGAGAAGUUGAAGAUUGCUGAAGGAAUCUGUCAGGAUACAGACAUGGAGGGGCCAGGAGGCUACAUCCUGCCUGAAGACUGCCUUGUGCUAAAUGCUGCACGUUCACAGGACAGAAAGAUGUUUUCUGCUCUGAAGAGCACUUUAACACAAGAAAAGAAACAGCAGAUGGAAAAGCAGGUGUGAUGGUACCCGGAAAUACUGCAAUGGGACUGUUCCACUCAGCCUUAAAAGCUCAAAGACCAGAAGCAACUCAAAAGUUCCUGAGGUGGGGAAAACACUUUGGAGAAAAUGAUGCAGCUGGCUGCAUUACCAUGGGAUGUCCUAGCACCCCAUUGCAAACGAUAUUUCACUGAAAUGAACAAGUUCCAGCACAAUGUCUCUGUUUCCACAGAAUAUCAUUUACAGUUGGAAGAUUGUUGUGUGAAAAUGUUCCCAGCUUACUGUAAAAAUGGCACACAAAAGGUGGCAUCUUUGUGGCCAACAGAGUUGGACAACUGGGGAGUCCUGGCAGCUUUCCCAGCUCAGCUGCCCAUGAUGCUUAAUCCUGCCUCUUGGGAUCAAGAACCUUUGUGAACAGCUUUUCCAUCACUUAUCAGCAAAGAUGAUGAGACACUAAAGCUAUUCUCUGAUUUAUCAGGCUUGGUGGAAUCCUGCCUUCCCUGACUUAUGUCAGCUCAAUUCAGCUGCAGCCCUGCUCUGAAGUUUCCAACAUGUAAUGUGUUGGGUUUUUUUCUUUUUAGUUUAGGCAACUUUGCCACCAGAGUUAAUUCAAAGAAGGAACAUGUUUAGUGAAGUGGGGAAUUUCUGCUGUGGUUGAUACUGUUUUCCUGACAUGCUCAUUUGAAAUUCAGCUAACAUACUCUUCUGCAGCAUUUGCAAGCAGGGAGGGAAGGACUGCCAUUUCAACAACAGUAAUAUGUAAGUGCUAUCAUUAUUAAUAACAAUCUAUAUUUCAAUACUGCUUGGAGGCCUCAAAUGAGAUUAGUGGCUCAUUAUGUUACGCUAUAUGUAAAUACACAGGCACAGAGUGUUUUGUAAAGUAGCCCUUAUCUAGACCAACAAGAUAAAAUAAGGGAGAGCAAGAGGAAUUUUUAUAACUUUUAAUUUAAAGAAGGGGAAAAAUUUACCUUUGGUAUGAUUAUGAAUAAAACUGGCCAAAAGGGACAACUACAUUUUGUCGCUUUCAGGCCAAAGUGAUCAGGUUUUUUUGUGAGUUUGGUGUAAAGGGUUUCAAGAAUAUUACCUUAGGAUAAUGUCACAUACCCACCUGCAUCUUACCACUGAAAUCAGCUAGAAAACAAGCUAUUCAUUGAAAUUCAUAUGAGUAACAUAUAACUGAAUGUUAUUUGAAUAUGUUAUAUGAAUGUUAUAUGUUAUAUGAAUAACUGAAAUGGUUAGUUGAUGUCUCAGGACACAAUUUCUAGGGUACCAUUUCCUCUAGAUAUCUCUGAGGUGGAAUCACAGAAUCCUGCUUACUUUUAUGGAACAGCAAAAGAAAAAAUGUUAAUACAGCAAACAAAGAAGGAACCAGCAUUGAGUGUCUUUUUUUUUUUUUUUUUUUUUUAACCCUAGCACAAAAUUAUCCAGAAUAACUUGUGUGCAUUCUCCUCCAACCAUAGCCAAUAUAAGCGCCAAACAGCAUGAAGUGUUUGAAAUUUCUGUGAGGAAUAGUCCCAUCAGUUAGAUUCUUGCAAGUUCAGCCUGCAGCAUAGUCAGAGUCUCCGCAUGUUUUUGUGUAUGCAGCACAAAAUACUGCAAAGAAAAUGUCCAGAGAACAAACCAAACACAUCCUCACAUUCCCACUUAUUCAACUCGCACUGUGACCCUACAUGCAUAAGGUUCAAUUUACAUGUUGACUUUCUGGAGCGAGAUCUGUGUCCAGGGGUGCCUGGGAAGUUCUAUAUCAAAUCCUUUAUUGAAUUCCUGUCUUUUAUCCCUUCUGUCUUUGUGCAUGGUACUUGAAUCUAUCUAAAAUAAAGCCUUUUGGAGGUAGGGGAAUUUCAGACAUCAGUAUGUCUCCUAACCAUGCAGGUUCUUGGGAGUUGUACUAUUUUGGUUCCUUUGCUCUAGGAAAUGUGAGUUCUUUUUCCUAGAGAAAUCAGCGAAGUAUAAACUGCUGUGGUCUCAGAGGACAUCGCUAGUUUUCAUUGAUGGCCUUCUGUUCUUUGCGUCCCAGCAAGCCUGGGUUUUAUGUGACAUAAGGACCUGAUUUGGAAAGGAGAACUGAGCAUCCUGAAAAGUGGAGGUAGGAUAAACCUUUGUUGAAAGCCAGUUCACUCCAUGACAAGGAUAAAUCAACCCUGUUGGUCCAAAAAGCCAUUAGAUGAAUAGGUGAAAUUUUUAGGCAUGUAAAGCGAGAGAAAUUCCUUAAGUGACUGUCUUUAGUGUCAUUCAUUAGAGCCGUUUCCUGCAAAAAUUAAUCUCUCUGGAGCUUUUCCUCCGCUUAGGGAGAAAUAACCUCUCUGCAAGGAGGAAGAGCUUCUACAUUCAUAUUUGGAACAUGUUUUAUCUUGACCAAAAUAAUAACAUCACCACCAGCCAAUUCCCCUUUACCCCUCAGCUCCAGCAACAGCAAAAAGUGCAAACUGAAAUGGCCAAUUCUUAACUAUUUUCCCCCUAUUUUAAUGUUGCCUAAGUCUCAGGUUUAAAGCUCAAGGCAAGCAGUACCCCAAGACAUGCAGGAGACAGAUGGAGGUGAAUGCGCAGAGACUGGGGUUUGCAUGUGUUGAGGCAGUGUUGCAUAGAUCCACCCUCCUUUGGCAGACUCCCUUCUGCUGUUGAAGGCUGCAGACCCACCUCCAGCUCAAGGAAAGCCCUUCAGCUGCAUUUACUUGACUUACCAAGCCCUAUCAGGUGCCUUGACAGCCAGACACCUGCCUUUCCAGUGUUUGCAAACAUGCCAGAACUGAUAAUUGCAUCCCCUCUGAAGUCUUCCAUAAAGGGUGGGUAUGGGCAGUUCAUUAUUAGUUUCUGCAGUGUCUUAGAGUAAUUUCUAUGCUGUUCAUGUCAUUAAAGAUCACUCAAGGCUUCUUAGCAAGAGGGAGAAUUGAUCAGGGCUAGAGCUGAGCUGCUCCUGCUAUGGGAGAAGAGGAGCAAGAAGAGCAUUGCUCAGCAGGGUGGAGAUUUGUGCUGGAAAGCCCUGAACAGCUGGACCUGAUGCCCCACUAUAGCAGUGGGAGAUUGUAACCUAUUCUGGGGAACUACCACAACUCUGAGCACUCUCUCAAUCGUAGCAGAUACCCUGUUUUCCACAGAAAGAGGCAGCAGAGCUGUGGCAAUGUCACAGGAGGUGUGUGGGGACACAACCCUUGUUUGGCUGUUGUGAAGGAGGUGGAGAUGAAAAGUAGGGGCUUGGAAGGCAGAGGAGGACAAAGUUGCCACAACCCGUAUUACUCCUUUCCUUAGAUAAACUCUCAGAAGCCAUGUUUUGAGUGUGUACCCAGCAAAUGAAACCAAUUGUUCUCAUCUUUCAAAAAACACUGUUUAAAAAAUGCAGAAGUUUUAAACUGUCAAGGGAUGAUUGAUGCUUACAGGAAAAAGGAAUCAAACUGGCAGGAUAGGUUGUUCAUCCUGGACCCAGGAUGAAGGCAAAUAUCAUUAAACCAUUCAUAAACUGGUAGUUCUGCAAGCAACCAAAAGGCAUGGUGCAGGUAAGUCAGUUGGCUUCCUUUUAUUUUUGCAAAAGCAAGAAAAUGUCUUGCUAAAAACCCAGCAAAAUCCAGCUUCGUGUUCUGAUGCUUUUUCUUUAAUAAAUGAGUGCUGAUAUUUUGUUUUCUGCUGGGCUUCGGGAUCAGUGCAGAAAGAAAAGUUAAUUUAACUAUCUGGGACAAAAUAACAAAUAUAUUCCUUAACAAACAAAAUAAAAUAUUCAAGCUUAUGGCUAGUAGCAAUGGUUCAAGAGGGCUUGAAUCCUGGUAUAGUCUCUAGAGACAAAAUUUUUCUGAAGAAACAAAAAAUAGCAACAGGCAAGAAUUUCCUCUCUACAGACAAACAACACUCAAUCAGUUUUAGUAGAUAAAAUGUUUUCUUAACUCCUAUGGCAUUUCACAAUUGAUGAACGUUUCCAAAAUAGAGAUAGUUAAAAUAUUAUCUCUUUCCCACAAGUCUUUUUGGCUUAUAUUGUCACUUUGUUACCGUUGUGACCUAGGCAGUUUAAAUUUAUAAUCUCACCUCUCCACCAUCUAUGCCUGAGAUGACUAAUUAACGUGGCUGCCAUGUGUAAUUGCAGUAAUGGAUAUCUCUUACUCUCACAUUGUGUUUUGAUGUAUUUUGCUAUCAUUUUGAACCAGGGAUCCAAAAGAAGACAAAUACCAUCGUGGUAGCCAGUGUUUUCAUUCAGCUGAAGAACAGGCAUAAAUGAUCUCAGAGUAUCUUAGCUCUGUCUGUUAAUUAGAACCAUAGGAAUGAUGCAGGAUGCUUUUCUACCAGGUCAUCUCUUCAAAAUUAUUUGUGAUUAUUAAAGGCAUGAUGAUGGCUUUAUAUGUAGGAAGAUGGUUGGAAAAGAGAUGACCAGAAUCUUGCUGUAUUUUUCCCUUAACUUGUCUUCAAGGAAAUGAACACAAACCCAGCAUUUUCUCUCGAUAUUUCUCUGAAGUAAUAACUCCAAAGUUAUUGUAGAUAAAAAAGUUACAAAGUGCAUUUUGGUGUUAAAACUCAGGUACCAAUGCCUGGAGAAUUAAGUUUCCUCCAAGAACAUGUUUUCAGUUACAUCAAACACAGAGCUUUUCCCAAGUCCAUGGCGAUUACAGCCACCAAAAGCAGGACUCUUCAGCAGCAAUCAAUGUGUGCAAAAACCCUCUGGCACAAGGAUUUCAGCACAGACUCCCGGCAAGAGAUGUUGUGUCUUGCACACCUUAUUUCAUAUAUUAUACUUCAGAUUACUUCAAAUUCUUUUGGAAACGUUGAACUUGUAGAAAAAAAAAAAAGAAAGCCAUAGUGUGCCAAAAGGAAAAAUGAAUCCUCCAUAUCUCAAUGGUAGAGAGUUUUGUUCUCAACUGCAAGAGAGGGAAGUUUGGCAGGGACCCCAGGCAUCAGUCUGAGUGCUGAGUUGUUAAUGAGAAAAAACAA